rnacentral:rRNA from 1 species
GAUGAACGCUAGCGGCAGGCUUAAUACAUGCAAGUCGAGGGGCAGCAGUUUUGUAGCAAUACAGAAGCUGGCGACCGGCAAACGGGUGCGGAACACGUACGCAACCUUCCUUUAACUGGAAGAUAGCCCACCGAAAGGUGGAUUAAUACUCCAUAACAUAUUGAAGAGGCAUCUUUUUGAUAUUAAAGCUCCGGCGGUUAAAGAUGGGCGUGCGUCUGAUUAGGUAGUUGGCGGGGUAACGGCCCACCAAGCCUUCGAUCAGUAGCUGAUGUGAGAGCAUGAUCAGCCACACGGGCACUGAGACACGGGCCCGACUCCUACGGGAGGCAGCAGUAAGGAAUAUUGGUCAAUGGACGCAAGUCUGAACCAGCCAUGCCGCGUGGAGGAUGAAGGCCCUCUGGGUUGUAAACUUCCUUUCUUUGGGACGAAACCCCUGUUUCUACGGGGACUGACGGUACCAGAGGAAUAAGCACCGGCUAACUCCGUGCCAGCAGCCGCGGUAACAC